AACGCACAUUGCGCCCCUUGGUAUUCCAUGGGGCAUGCCUGUUCGAGCGUCAUUUGUACCUUCAAGCUCUGCUUGGUGUUGGGUGUUUGUCUCGCCUCUGCGCGCAGACUCGCCUCAAAACGAUUGGCAGCCGGCGUAUUGAUUUCGGAGCGCAGUACAUCUCGCGCUUUGCACUCACAACGACGACGUCCACAAAGUACAUUUUUUACACUCUUGACCUCGGAUCAGGUAGGGAUACCCGCUGAACUUAA
rnacentral:misc_RNA from 1 species